AGGCACUAAGCUCAGUAAUUUCUCUACAUAAAAAAAUAACUACAAUGCUAUAUAAAGUAAAGUUGUAAAGGGACAUCUAAUUCAACCCUGAACCAGUCUGACUCUAUCCAGGGACUAAAUUACAUCUUAAAGAAUUUAGACUAUUUCCUAAACAGGUAAAAAAUAAGACUGCACGAGCAGUCCGGGAUUUAACCCAAGAGAAGAAGAGAAGAAUAGAGAGAGCACGAACCUGUGGGUUCUUUAGCCCCUAGCAAAGUGACUUGAAACUGCCGCUGUCACUGUUUAUAUACUAACUCUAACCAAUGAAAAUGACUCUAACUAAGAGACUUUGAAAACUGCAGGGUGAAAAUCUAAAACGAUUUCUGGUGAGUUUAAGGCACUAGCUUUAAACCAAUGAAAAGUUAGGAAACAAAUUAACUUUGGAAUGAUUGACAAGAUGGAGGCAAAUUCAACAGUAUAAACAGCACAUGUGAGAAAAAUAGUAAAGUGAACAAUUUACAUCUGAUUCAGAGUUUACACAAAAAUGAUGAUCUACAGUAUGUAUAGUAGCAUAAACAUAGGUAAUGAAUUAACAAUUUAAAUGUCAAUUAAACCAAAACUGUCACAAUAUAUAUUUGUGCAUGUGUCUGCUUUCAGUGUACUUUUUGGGGACUUUGAGUGAUUCACCACCCUUUGAACAAAUGUAUUUUGAGAUCCUCAAAGGAAUCCUAGAUUUGUCAAGAAGCCAUGUUUUAAUUGCUAUCCAUCAAAUAGCACUGUGUCUUGCAUGUGUAAAUUGCAAAUAUUAUUCAGUGUCUUAGUAUAAAUCAUUAGUAUUUUGAAGCAUGAUGUUACAGUUAGUUUAUUAUGUCUCCCCUCUUCCAGGGGGAUCGAGACAUUGUUUUUGUAUUUUCUGUCUGUCACAAAUUCUUGUGAAUGCUUCUCCUCCUACCGUAUAUGGCUUAUCCGCUAGACUUGAAACUUUGUACAAUGCUUCAAUGCCAUAUGGAGAUGUGCAUAUUGUUGGGACGGGAGGAUCCAAUUAUUUUCCUAAAAGUUAUAGUGGAUCUAAGAGGGGUGGAAGAUGUUUAAAUAACUUGUGAAUGCUUCUCCUCUGAUAUGGAUUAUCAGAGUUAGACUUAAAUUUUUCACAAUACUUCAAUGCCAUUUGCAGAUUGGCAUAUAUUGUAGGGAUAGGAAGAUCCAAUUGUUUUCUUAAAAUCUUAGGGGUGGAGGGUAUAAAAUAAUUUGUGAACACUUCUAUAUGGCUUAUCGGAGUUCAUAAAUGCUUAUAUGCUUCUGCUCAUGCUUUCUCCUCAAUACCAUACAGUACAAUAAGGGGCAGUUUCAUUUGGAGAACUUCCAAUUUGGGGAGCUCAGGGAGACAUUUGUAUUUCCUAAUAAACAAUCUUUAGUUUCAAAUUGUGAUUAUGGUAUUUUUGUUUCUCUUCUAUAAAAUGUUAAUUAUAUUAAAUAUCUAUUUUGAAAAAAUAUCAUAAAAUAUAUAUGUAAAGUUAUAAUUAAUUUUUUUCUUUCUGGUACAAUAGGCAUAGUGUAUAUGCAGUGUAGGUAGAGAUAAAUCACAUAGCAAAGAAAAAUUCCAAAUUGAUUUUAGCUCACAUGAGCUGCAUGAAAGCUUGAAAGAGCAAUUCUGAUCACUUUUUGCUGUCAUCAGUCCAUCUGUACAACCUUUUCAACUUCUUCUCCAGAACCAUAGUGUUAAUUUUAGCCUAACUUGCCACCCUUCACAGGGGAGAUAAUCACAAAAUAGGGUGGGUUCAUUAAAAGUCUUCUCAAGAACCACAGGGUCAGAAGAGCUGAAAUUUACAAGCAAGCUUCCUGGCAUAGUGUAGAUUCAGGUUUAUUAAAAUCAUGACCCCCUAGGGAUAGGAUGGGGCCACAAUAGGGGAUCAAAGUUUUACAUGCAAAGGUAUAGGGAAAAUCUUUUAAAAAUCUUCUUCUCAAGAACCACUGGGCCAGGAAAGCACAAAUUUACAAGAAAGCUUCCUGACAUAGUGCAGAUUCAAGUUUGAUAACAUCAUGGCCCCCGGGGGUAGGAUGGGGCAACAAUUGGGGAUCAAAGUUUUACAUACAAAUAUAUAGGGAAAAUAUAACAUAUUCUCAAGAACCAAUGGACCAGAAAGUAAGACAAAAGUUUAUAUUUACAUGAAAGCUCCCUGACAUAGUGCAGAUUCAAAUUUGUUAAAAUCAUAGCUCCCAGGGGUAGGAUGGGGCCACAAUAGGGGAUCAAAAUUUCACAUACAGAUAUAUAAGGAAAAUCUUUUGAUUUUUUUUUUUUUUAAAGAAUCACUGGGCCAGAAAGUCUUACAUUUAUGUCAAAGCUUGCUGACAUAGUGCAGAUUUAAGUUUGUUAAAAUUAUGCCCCCCCCCCCCCCAGGGGAAGGGUGUGGCCACAAUAGGGGAUCAAAGUUUAACAUACAAAUAUAUAGGGAAAAUCUUUUUCUCAAGAAGCCAUUGGGACAACGAAAUUUACAUUCACAUGAAAGCUUCCUGACAUACUGCAGAUUCAAUUUUGUAAUAAUCAUAGUUACGGGGGUAAGUUGGGGCCACAACAAGGAUCAAAGCUUUACAUGCAAAUAUACAAGAACAAUAUGUGCCAAGGUAACUCAUGUGAGCAAUGUGGUCCAUGGGCCUCUUGUCUUUAAUGCUAUUGAUACUAAAUUGAAACAGAAUAGAUAUCUAGAAGGAGUAAUUAAGACAAUCAAUCAGUAUUCAUAUUUCAUACUGGAAAAUAAAAUUUAGAUAGCUUAUAUUGAUCAUUGUGAAUUUUUUUUUCUUUCAGAGAUUCAUUUUGAGGAAAUAGGUGGUGUGCAGUGCACAUUCCUAAAUGAAUUCAUCAGUUUACAUUAAGGAUCUACCUUCAAAUCCUGUAAUCUGGGAUGCUCUAAAGUGCAUGUCACAGACUAAAGUUAUAAAAAUAACUUCCAAGAAUUUUUAAGAAAUUGUUAUAUACAUGUAUACUGAUAUUGAAUUAAAUUUUAUAAAAUUUCA